rnacentral:rRNA from 1 species
GAGUUUGAUCAUGGCUCAGAUUGAACGCUGGCGGCAUGCCUUACACAUGCAAGUCGAACGGUAACAGGUCUUCGGAUGCUGACGAGUGGCGAACGGGUGAGUAAUACAUCGGAACGUGCCCGAUCGUGGGGGGAUAACGAAGCGAAAGCUUUGCUAAUACCGCAUAAGAUCUACGGAUGAAAGCAGGGGACCGCAAGGCCUUGCGCGAACGGAGCGGCCGAUGGCAGAUUAGGUAGUUGGUGGGAUAAAAGCUUACCAAGCCGACGAUCUGUAGCUGGUCUGAGAGGACGACCAGCCACACUGGGACUGAGACACGGCCCAGACUCCUACGGGAGGCAGCAGUGGGGAAUUUUGGACAAUGGGCGAAAGCCUGAUCCAGCCAUGCCGCGUGCAGGAUGGAGGCC